rnacentral:rRNA from 1 species
UACAGAGGUGGCAAGCGUUGUUCGGAAUUACUGGGCGUAAAGGGCGAGUAGGUGGCCAUCUAAGUCAGACGUGAAAUCCCCCGGCUUAACCUGGGAACUGCGUCUGAUACUGGACGGCUUGAGUAUGGGAGAGGGAUGUAGAAUUCCAGGUGUAGCGGUGAAAUUCGUAGAUAUUCGCAAGAACACCAGUGGCGAAGGCGGCUCACUGGCCCGGUACUGACGCUGAGGUGCGAAAGCGUGGGGAGCAAACAGG